AUCUGCCUUCAUCUUCAGUGGGAACAGAACUUCAAAGACACAGGAAUCACCCAUAGAACCUGAAGGAGUUUCACAUCCUUGGCUUGACCACAGUCUUUCUCCCAGCGCUGCCAGAGUGGCUGUUGGUGUGUGGGCAGCUUUGCCAGAAGAACCUCUCUGAGGCAGGACCAUGCAGGAGCUGGGCAGAGAAGAACCUCCUCUUGGGCUGCAUAACAAGACACAGUACCAAGUCACUGUAUGAUGACGUGCAUAAUGUACAACCGGAGAGGCUGUUACACUCUUGA
rnacentral:lncRNA from 1 species